rnacentral:lncRNA from 1 species
UUCACUUAUUUUCCAUAAGGGGUGUCACGUAUAUUAUAGAUUUUCAGUACUAGCAGUCAAUAUCGAAAGGCAACCAUAAUCUAUUGAAAAACUUUCCGUUUUUAUCCUUUCCUAAUACUGUCAUCAUUCGCUGUGAAUAUUCGCGGCGAAAUUCCAUGGAAGGUGUUACCCUGGACAUAGGAACGUACUUAGAACGUAUUUAGUCGAUCGCAGUACGUAUGAAUAUUCUGAGAUGAUCGCAAUAUACGCAUUGCGAUUUUCUCAGAACAUACUCAGAACGUACGCAUGUUAGGGAACAGAUAUCUUAACCUCUAAAGUCUCGAACUUUAAAGCCUCGCUUAAUAACUUGUUUAGCAAGACAGAUUGCCGUGUUUUUCUGCCGAAUUUUUUCGUUUUGAGUAAAACCGCGUCGAAUGAAUAUAUUUUCAUUAAGAUUUACAGUCAGGAGGAUAUUCUGAAUAAAUAAGAAUAAGAUAAUGGAUGCACUUGGGUAUUAUGAACGCACCUCAGCAGUCAUUCCGGUUAGCAUAUAUCUCAGGGUUGGCAAAUGGUAACACUGUCAGUGCAUAUUUGAUCUUAAGUGCACGUGAUAUAGAAAAUGUACAAAUAAGAAUGAAGAGAACAAAAUUAUUGCUGGUAUUACUGAUACUGCUGGUACUCACCACAGGCACAGUUUCCUCAUCGAAAUAUGAAAAGUCUUUGAACGCUUCUUGUCUCACCGAGGUGACAGUAUCACUGAACGAAGAUGACAUUGUUCCAAGAUACUAGAUAAUAAUUUAUAAUGAACUGCGUCUCAACUGAUGUAACUGCAUAUGGUGGGAAUGACGAAUGACGGCAUUCCUUGGCUGCCUUCAUAUACGGCUGUUGUGUAUAUCUUCAAACAGAUGUCUAAAUGACAGUUUGGAACGAAAAACGUAUGGAUAGCAUACGGCGACGAGGCACAGCCGUUCGGCGGCUCGGCUGCUGAGAUUCGAGCAAUGAUGGGGAAACUGUAGACGUCGCCUUCGAAAUCGGAUCGAAAUGUGCAACUAAUUCCGUGCGCUGAUUUAUAUAAUUGAAGAAAAGAAGAGCGAAUAAUCUUAGAAAAGAUUGAAAGUUUUUUAUUAAUCAUUUAAUUUAAAAAGAAAGAAUCUGGAAGGAGAUCUCGCUUUAGAUAUUUGCAAGAUUAUUUUAGAUAAGUAUUAAAUGUUUUUUACGUCUAUUAUUAAUAUUUUAUUAUAAAGGAUCAAUACUCUAUGUUCUAUUUUAUUUUUAGUUAGCGGUGUUCGUUUCAACGCUAUUAAAGUUGAUAAUGACAUGUUUGGUGUAGAAACAUGUUGGAGAACAUUGUACAUUUAUUUUUAUUUAACAUAAGGAAUUUAACGUAAAGAAAAUGAAGAAUUGCUUAGUAAAUUAAGCAAUCUCAAAUUAUGAAGAAUUAAACUGAAUUAAAUUUCUUAUGUGCUACGCUUCAUAUAUAAAAGAUAUGUAAAACUCCAUCUUUUUCCUUUCUUUAUAUUGUACGGCAGGAUGUUAUCGACAUUGAUGUUUGGGUGGAACGAAAAAAAGGAUAUAUUUUAAUCGAAGUUCUGUCCUUGGCCUGUUACAUACAAAUCCGUUAAAAAUAAUAGCAUAUUAUUAGCAUAUUAUACAAUA